rnacentral:rRNA from 1 species
UACAGAGGGGGCAAGCGUUAUUCGGAAUUAUUGGGCGUAAAGGGCGCGUAGGCGGCCUGGCAAGUGGAAGGUGAAAUCCCUCGGCUUAACCGAGGAACUGCCCUCCAAACUGCUUGGCUUGAGUCCGGGAGAGGUGAGUGGAAUUCCCCAGUGUAGCGGUGAAAUGCGUAGAUAUUGGGAGGAACACCAGUGGCGAAGGCGGCUCACUGGACCGGAACUGACGCUGAGGCGCGAAAGCGUGGGGGAGCAAACGGGG